CAGUGCUUAUCAGCAUCUCCACCAAGGAGGAACAGUGGAAAUGAACCCCAUGUGAGGCAGGCACUGGUGCUCCUGGUUCUUCAGAUUCAGACUGGUACUUACACCGCUGGCUCCCCUUUUUGGACUGGAACUAUACCACCAGCUUUUCUGGGACUCCAGCUUGCAGACAUCAGAUCAUAGGAUUUCUCAGCCUCCAUAAUCAUGUGGCUGGCUGCCUCGAGCCCUGGAAAGAUGGCUGGAGAAGAAGUGGGGAGGGGUGUGUGCCAGCUGUGCCUCACACUUCGAUCAGGAAAGCACAAGCUCUGUCCCAAACCUCAUCAGACUUCGCUCGGGUCUCAUUAGCUACACAGUGGAACAACUGUGUUACACUGGCCACACUUGGCUACAGGGGAGGCUUGGAAGCUGCUGGGCACGGUGUUCUGGUAGCAAGGGGUGAAGGGCUCUGGAGGGGGAAGCGAUUGAGUCUGGCAUAGCUGGAGAAGGUCUGAGAGAACAGGGGCUGGAAUGUGAGCGCUGGGUAAGAUUUAGGAGGGAGACUGGAGAAAAGAAGGGACCUUGGGAGUAACUUAUGGAAACAGUGGCCCGUCUGGGAGGCUGUGAGAACUCUGCUCCAGGAAAUUUUUGUUCUGGGAAGUUGGAAAAAAGUCGGCCCACUGAUGUGUGUCCAGUUCCCGGAGGAACCUCCUGCCCUCCCUCAUCCUCAGCACAUCCCCGCCCCCUGCUCCCUUCCCAGUGGCUCCCUGGUCUGAUUUAAGUGGGCUUUCUGAUCAAAGAGAACAAAAUCUUAAGGGGAUUCUGCUCCUUGCACGUUGAUCUUUCCCCUAAAGCCCGUGAUUUCCAACAUUGGCUACACAUUGCAAUAACUUGGGGGAAGUUUUAAAAAUCCCAGUACUCAGGCCACUUCCCAGACCAAUUAAGUCACACCCUGGGGGUGGGGUCAGUGGUGAGUUGGGGAAAGUGUUAAACUGGCUCUUUAGGAAAAUAAAAGCAUGCAUAUAUGUACAGAAAUUUAUUCUAAAUUUUACUAAAGUAAAGGAUGUGUAGCCUACACCUUUCAAAUGAUAAUAAAAUAUAUAGUAUUCUUUAUUACAGGACACUCUAGC